rfam:Geobacter sp. FRC-32, complete genome.
AGACGACAAUACUAAACCAUUCGCAAGGGUGGGACGGAAAGCCUACAGGGUCUUACUGAGACAGCCGGGACGCCGAA